GGCGAAUAUCCAACUUGAAACUGACUUUACCUCGAUCACUUGUGUAGUUGGAAGCUCCGUUAUUUAUUUCGGGUCCGAAACGUCAGGUUGUAGUCCAGCUGCAGGAGGAAGUGUCCCAGAGGAAACAGGAAGUAGCUGAGGUUAAGGGUCAGACGAAGCAGCUCAGCCGGACGCUGAAAGUGGAGAGUAGCCCAGAGGAGUCUGAGGAGAGAGGCCCAAGUCUGCCAGGAGACCAAUGACUCUCUGAACCUGCAGAGCAAAAGCAGCCUAGUGGCCCUGGAGUAGAUACAGACUAGGCAUAAGAGGCUGAGAUUGAAGAUCAUCCAGGCUGUGUUCUCUUCUCCUGGAGCCAAACACCCCCAGACUGCCCCCUGAAGGACAGCUUGUUACAUGAUUUUGAAUGCUGAACUUUAAUUAACCAAGCAUGUACUUUGAGGGAUUUGGGGCCGUUUUUGAUGUAGACAUGGAUGUCGUCUGCAAAACUGUGGAAGAGGACCCCAAGUCAUCKGACUACAUGACCAAGUGGAAGUAGGCAGAGKAUGA